UACGGGGGGGGCAAGCGUUGUUCGGAAUUACUGGGCGUAAAGCGCGUGUAGGCGGCCCUGCAAGUCGGGUGUGAAAUCCCAUGGCUCAACCAUGGAAGUGCACUCGAAACUGCAGGGCUAGAGUCCUGGAGAGGAAGGUGGAAUGCUUGGUGUAGAGGUGAAAUUCGUAGAUAUCAAGCGGAACACCGGUGGCGAAGGCGGCCUUCUGGACAGUGACUGACGCUGAGACGCGAAAGCGUGGGGAGCAAACAGG
rnacentral:rRNA from 1 species